GAUGAACGCUAGCGGCAGGCUUAACACAUGCAAGUCGAGGGGUAUAGUUCUUCGGAGCUAGAGACCGGCGCACGGGUGCGUAACGCGUAUGCAAUCUACCUUUUGCAGAGGGAUAGCCCAGAGAAAUUUGGAUUAAUACCUCAUGGUAUGUGAGAAUGGCAUCAUUUUCACAUUAAAGUCACAACGGCAAAAGAUGAGCAUGCGUCCCAUUAGCUAGUUGGUAAGGUAACGGCUUACCAAGGCAACGAUGGGUAGGGGUCCUGAGAGGGAGAUCCCCCACACUGGUACUGAGGCACGGACCAGACUCCUACGGGAGGCAGCAGUGAGGAAUAUUGGACAAUGGGAGCAAGCCUUAUCCAGCCAUGCCGCGUGCAGGAUGACGGUCCUAUGGAUUGUAAACUGCUUUUGUACAGGAAGAAACACUGGUUCGUGAACCAGCUUGACGGUACUGUAAGAAUAAGGAUCGGCUAACUCCGUGCCAGCCGCCGCAGUAAAAC
rnacentral:rRNA from 1 species